rnacentral:rRNA from 1 species
GAGUUUGAUCGUGGCUCAGAUUGAACGCUGGCGGCAGGCCUAACACAUGCAAGUCGAGCGGAUGACGGGAGCUUGCUCCUUGAUUCAGCGGCGGACGGGUGAGUAAUGCCUAGGAAUCUGCCUGGUAGUGGGGGACAACGUUUCGAAAGGAACGCUAAUACCGCAUACGUCCUACGGGAGAAAGCAGGGGACCUUCGGGCCUUGCGCUAUCAGAUGAGCCUAGGUCGGAUUAGCCAGUUGGUGGGGUAAUGGCUCACCAAGGCGACGAUCCGUAACUGGUCUGAGAGGAUGAUCAGUCACACUGGAACUGAGACACGGUCCAGACUCCUACGGGAGGCAGCAGUGGGGAAUAUUGGACAAUGGGCGAAAGCCUGAUCCAGCCAUGCCGCGUGUGUGAAGAAGGUCUUCGGAUUGUAAAGCACUUUAAGUUGGGAGGAAGGGCAGUAAGUUGAUACCUUGCUGUUUUGACGUUACGACAGAAUAAGCACCGGCUAACUCUGUGCCAGCCGCC